rnacentral:rRNA from 1 species
ACGCUCGACACCUACGGGGGGCAGCAGUGAGGAAUAUUGGUCAAUGGGCGCUAGCCUGAACCAGCCAAGUAGCGUGAAGGAUGAAGGCUCUAUGGGUCGUAAACUUCUUUUAUAUAAGAAUAAAGUGCAGUAUGUAUACUGUUUUGUAUGUAUUAUAUGAAUAAGGAUCGGCUAACUCCGUGCCAGCAGCCGCGGUAAUCUGAGGCGGCUGGCAAGGC